rnacentral:tRNA from 1 species
GCCUUCGUGGUGUAGUGGUCAACACACUCGGCGCGUAUUCAAGAAGUCCGAAGUUCGAUUCCCGGGGAGGGCA